AAAACUGUUAUACGAUGGAAAAAAAAAGUCGAUCAUUGAAAGAAGAGUCUAGGUUUCGAUGUUCCCAAUUUGGCGAGUUCAAAGGGGACUGAGAAGUUGAUUCGAGUUCUGUAGAUAUCAUUUGGAUUUAGAAGAUGAAACGCACAGAUUAAUCAAGACAAUCAAGGUUAAUUGUUCGGUUGAUGAAUCGUGAAAUGAAGACGUAAAAGAAGAAAAAGUAGACAUGGAAACAUCCAUUGAAGAAACACUCAAUAGUCUCAGUUGAUGUGUAUUUUCGAUGGUUCUGUUUUUAUGUUCGAGAGAGAGAGAUAAGAGCAGAUCCAGCUACAAAAGGGCUCGGAAACAGACGUGAAAAGAAAAAGAAGCUAAGAAGAUCUCAGCCUUACCAGCGAAGGGGUUACAGACCGAUUUGGCGAGUUAGAGGGAGAAGUUCACUCGACUUCUGGAGAUAUCAUUUGGAUGUAGAAGAUGGAACGCACGGAUUAAUCAACACAAUCAAGGUUAAUAGUUUGGUUGAUGAAUCAUUAAAUGAAGACAUAGAAGAAGAAAAAGUAGACAUGGAUACAUCAAUUGAAGAAAGACACAUUCUCUCAGUGCAGAUUCAUCACUACGAAUGGUUCGGUUUUUGUGUUCGAGAGAGAGAUAAGAGGAGAUCCAGCUACAAAAGGGCGAAGAAACAGAUGUCAGCAUAAAAAAGAUAAGUCAUCUUUUCAUCAUAUUUGUAAAUUUCAUUUGAGUAAAUUAUUGGUUGAAAUAAGUAUUAUAGAAACUUGUAUUGAUCAUCAAGUUAGAUUGCUCACUGUUAUUUUAAAAAGAGAGACUUGUUGAAGUUUGUUUUGUUACCUUUAGUAGAUUGCAGUUGUUAAAAAGCAUGUAUCUCAUUUAGGUUGAUGUAUAGUUGUCACUGUUCUAGCACCACAAAAAAACCUGUUAUGUACAUAUGCUAUUAAGUCAAAGGGUAAUUGAUAUUAGUACGUAAUACAUGGAAGGUGUAAUUUUUUUUAUUUACUAUAACAGAAUAUAUGAUGUGCAGGUAAUCGUGAGAUCAGUUAUUUGAUUCUUGAACUGGGCAAUGAAGUGGAGAACAUAUCAUUUGAAAGGCAGUUUCAAGGUUAGUAAUUUGAUGAU